CGGGAUGUAGCUUAGCCUGGUAGAGCGCUUGCUUUGGGAGCAAGAGGUCGUGGGUUCGAAUCCCGCCAUCCCGACCA
rnacentral:tRNA from 1 species